rnacentral:rRNA from 1 species
AGGGUUCGAUUUGGCUCAGGACGAACGCUGGCGGCGUGCCUAACACAUGCAAGUCGAACGAAGCAUUAAGAGCUUGCUUUUGAUGCUUAGUGGCGGACGGGUGAGUAACGCGUGAGCAACCUGCCUUUCAGAGGGGGAUAACGUUUGGAAACGAACGCUAAUACCGCAUAACAUAUUUGAAUCACAUGGUUUGAAUAUCAAAGGAGCAAUCCACUUAAAGAUGGGCUCGCGUCCGAUUAGCUAGUUGGUGAGAUAACAGCCCACCAAGGCGACGAUCGGUAGCCGGACUGAGAGGUCGAACGGCCACAUUGGGACUGGGACACGGCCCAG